rnacentral:rRNA from 1 species
UACGUAGGGUGCGAGCGUUGUCCGGAAUUAUUGGGCGUAAAGGGCUCGUGGGCGGUUUGUCGCGUCGGGAGUGAAAACCAGGUGCUUAACACCUGGCUUGCUUUCGAUACGGGCAGACUAGAGGUAUUCAGGGGAGAACGGAAUUCCUGGUGUAGCGGUGAAAUGCGCAGAUAUCAGGAGGAACACCGGUGGCGAAGGCGGUUCUCUGGGAAUGACCUGACGCUGAGGAGCGAAAGUGUGGGGAGCGAACAGG